rnacentral:lncRNA from 1 species
GGGUCGGGGCGUGCAACCUAUACGUCAUCUAGAUUCGCCACUUAUCUUAUAAAGUGUAUACCGAAUUAAAAUAUUGUAAGAAAUGAGAAAACAGGGACACCCGGGAAAUCAGAUUAUGUGAGUUGGAUUAUGUUUAUUAUAAUAAAUGCCGAAUAUCAAGUUCUUUUUAUCGAUUUCUAUACAUUUUUUUCAAAUAUAUAUAAAAG